ACUCCUACGGGAGGCAGCAGUGGGGAAUAUUGCACAAUGGGCGCAAGCCUGAUGCAGCCAUGCCGCGUGUAUGAAGAAGGCCUUCGGGUUGUAAAGUACUUUCAGCAGUGAGGAAGGUGGGUAUGUUAAUAGCAUACUCAUUUGACGUUAGCUGCAGAAGAAGCACCGGCUAACUCCGUGCCAGCAGCCGCGGUAAUACGGAGGGUGCGAGCGUUAAUCGGAAUUACUGGGCGUAAAGCGCAUGCAGGUGGUUUGUUAAGUCAGAUGUGAAAGCCCGGGGCUCAACCUCGGAAUUGCAUUUGAAACUGGCAAACUAGAGUACUGUAGAGGGGGGUAGAAUUUCAGGUGUAGCGGUGAAAUGCGUAGAGAUCUGAAGGAAUACCGGUGGCGAAGGCGGCCCCCUGGACAGAUACUGACACUCAGAUGCGAAAGCGUGGGGAGCAAACAGGAUUAGAUACCCUGGUAGGCG
rnacentral:rRNA from 1 species